CCAAAGGACUUGACGGUAUCCCACCCAACUAGAGGAGCCUGUUCUAUAAUCGAUGAUCCACGAUAUACCAAACCAUUUCUCGCCAUUCAGCCUGUAUACCUCCGUCGAAAGCUUACCGUAUGAACGCACACCAGUAGGCCAAAGGACUUUAACGUCACAACGUCAGGUCAAGGUGCAGCUAAUGAGAUGGAAGCAAUGGGCUACAAUUUCUAAAUUAGAACAAACGAAACACUACAUGAAACAUAGUCAUGAAGGCGGAUUUAGCAGUAAGUAGGAAAUAGAGAGUCCUACUAAACAUGGCCCUGGGAUGUGUACAAACCGCCCGUCACCCUCUUCGAUAGUUUUUAAUAUAGUUUAUAACACACUAAUACGCCUUAGAAGAGGCAAGUCGUAACAUGGUAAGUAUACUGGAAAGUGUACUUGGAA
rnacentral:rRNA from 1 species